rnacentral:lncRNA from 1 species
UUGCUGCCCUUCCUCUUCCCCAGGGCACAGAAACACUCUCCACUGCGGCCAAGGAUUGCAGGAGAGGUGGCAUCAGUGAUUCAAGACUUCUUUUCCUACCUCUUCAGUGUUUCUUUCAGUGAUCUGAAGUUAAAGCCAGGGGGAAUAUCACAGAAGUGAAGUGCAAUUCUCAUCAUGUCAUAUCAAGAGCACACACUAACAAACAACAUGACUUAUUGCUGAAUAUUGAACUUGAUCACCUGGCUGAGGUGAAUAAACUGACACUGGAACAUUCAGGAACUUCUUCAUGGUCAUGGUCACCCAGCUAGAGUGUGGAAGCCAGGCUGUCUGAUUCCAGGAUCUGUGUUCUUAAUCCUAUACAUAAGGAAGCCAUAAUGAGUCAACCACUAUUUUUAAGAUUCACAGAUGUUCGGGUCCAAUUCACCAGAAUGCCAAGUUAUACAGGGUUGUGGAAUCAAAAACUGCAAUUAGUAAUAAAAUGUGAUGCUAUCUAGAAUGUUUUUCAUACAUAUAUAUGCUUCUUGGGACUCUCCCUGCAGGUUAAGAGAAAUUGAGAAACGAUGGAGAAUUUAAGUGUUUUAGAUCCUACAUACAUUAGACUUAAAAAUAGUAACUAUGUACAUGAGUAUUUGUAAACUUAAGAAUGAACAUAACAUGAACCAUGUGGCACCUAUAAAAUGAAAAUAAAAUACCUACAAACCAAAUGAGAGCAAUAAAAGAAGCUUUAAGGACUUUCA